GAAACGUGUGUUGGGGAGGAUUCAAUGUCUGUUGAGAACCAUGUGAAUGUGCUACAAAGUGAGUAUCAGAAAACACCUCCAGACACCUGGACUGUCAAAGACCACACGGCAGGAACAUUCUCCUGGAGAUGCUGAGAAAGCACGGAAGGAAUGUCUGUGGAGGAUGUACUCAAAAAACACCCAUACUUAAGGACACCUGCUGGAGGGGACCCCUACUACACCCUUUCUUACCAUACAACUGAUGGAUACUGACUGGAAAAUGGCUAUCAUAGGCGGAGGGUUCAGUGUGGUGACAGAAGAUGGAAUAGACGUGUGCCAGUGCACCAGCCUUGGUGAAGCCUCUAUAACAGCCUUCUGUAUGGUUGACUGGAAGUAUGUCAGUCCAGAUGUGAGGAAGACAUACAGAGUGGAGUUGGAUGGCUGUGGAGUCAGCAGGUGUGAUGGCUGUGGAUGCAUCUACAAAAACACCACUGGAUACUGUAGCCAUGGAAAGAAGGGGGUAUUCACAACUUUCUAUUCAGACAAAGAGUUUGCUGGAUUCUGUUCUAUGGACUGCUACUACUGAAUGAAUGAAUGAGUGGUUUGUUUAUCUAUCUAUCUAUCUAUCUAUCUAUCUAUCUAUCUAAAUAUAUAUAUANNNNNNNNNNNNNNNNNNNNNNNNNNNNNNNNNNNUAUCUUUUUUUUUUUUACUUGAAUUGGGGACUGAAACUGAAAGCUAAAUAAAUGUUUUAGUGGAUAAAGCUGUGUCUGUUUG
ensembl:lncRNA